rnacentral:tRNA from 1 species
GGAGCAUUAGCUCAGUCGGUAGAGCACUUGACUUUUUAAUCAAGUUGUCCGGGGUUCAAUCCCCGAUGCUUCA